rnacentral:rRNA from 1 species
UGUUUCGGCUAGGGGGUCAUCCCGACUUACCAACCCGAUGCAAACUGCGAAUACCGAAGAAUGUUAUCACGGGAGACACACGGCGGGUGCUAACGUCCGUCGUGAAGAGGGAAACAACCCAGACCGCCAGCUAAGGUCCCAAAGUCAUGGUUAAGUGGGAAACGAUGUGGGAAGGCACAGACAGCCAGGAUGUUGGCUUAGAAGCAGCCAUCAUUUAAAGAAAGCGUAAUAGCUCACUGGUCGAGUCGGCCUGCGCGGAAGAUGUAACGGGGCUAAACCAUGCACC